GCCAGUUUCAUUUGGACUGCUGCGAUGUUUUUUCUCCAUCCCUUUUAAUCCAUCGCCGUCCUAACUACGAAGCUCCACGUAAAGUAUAUUCAAAAAUGGUAAAUGCUGAAUUCACUCGUAUCACUACAGUCCCCUUGUUGUCGACCUUUAUGCCCCGACUGGAUCCCCACACCAGCCAACUAAUGAGGGUGUUUAAGAAGGCCAGAGGAUAAAGUAGUGUUUUCUGCUGGCCGUGCUGCCUGGUCAUUCCUGCCUGCCUCUCACUCCCUGGAGGAUGGGUUCCCACCUGGACUCUCCUGGACCACCACAGCCUCUCUCUGCUGCUUGCCAGAUCCAGCGGUGCACCUCUGGUCUCCAGGAGCCUGCCUGCCCCCCGCCCAGCCCUUUAGUGAGUUUAAUUAGCUUCUCUUCCUA
ensembl:lncRNA